rnacentral:tRNA from 3 species
GAGGCCUUAUUUUAAUUAAAAUAUCUGGGUUGCAUACAGGUGAUGUAGGAGAAGGUCCUAUAGGUCUUU